rnacentral:misc_RNA from 1 species
GAUGAAGAACGUAGCGAAAUGCGAUAAGUAGUGUGAAUUGCAGAAUUCAGUGAAUCAUCGAAUCUUUGAACGCACAUUGCGCCCCUCGGUAUUCCGUGGGGCAUGCCUGUUCGAGCGUCAUCUACACCCUCAAGCUCUGCUUGGUGUUGGGCGUCUGUCCCGCCUCCGCGCGUGGACUCGCCCCAAAUUCAUUGGCAGCGGUCCUUGCCUCCUCUCGCGCAGCACAUUGCGCUUCUCGAGGGGCUACGGCUCGCGUCCAACAAGCACAUUUACCGUCUUUGACCUCGGAUCAGGUAGGGAUACCCGCUGAACUUAAGCAUAUCAAUAACGGAGGA